rnacentral:rRNA from 1 species
CCUACGGGUGGCAGCAGUGGGGAAUAUUGCACAAUGGGGGAAACCCUGAUGCAGCGACGCCGCGUGAGUGAAGAAGUAUCUCGGUACGUAAAGCCCUAUCAGCAGGGAAGCAAAUGACGGUACCUGUCUCAGAAGCCCCGGCUACCUCCGUGUCAGCAGCCGCUGUAUUCCGUAGGGGGCCCGCGUUAUCCGGAUUUACUGGGUGUAAAGGGAGCGUAGACGGCAGCACAAGUCUGGAGUGAAAUCCCGGGGCUUAACCCCGGAACUGCGUUGGUAACUGUGCGGCUUGAGUGCGGGAGGGGUAAGCGGAAUUCGUAGUGUAGCGGUGAAAUGCGUGGAUAUUAGGAGGAACACCGGUGGCGAAGGCGGCUUACUGGACUGUAACUGACGUUGAGGCUCGAAAGCGUGGGGAGCGAACAGGAUUAGAUACCCCAGUAGUC